GCCAGCAUGGCAUAGUGGUUUGAGUGUUGGACUACAACUCUGGAGACAAGGGUUCAAUUCCCUACACAGCCA
rnacentral:tRNA from 1 species